CCUACGGGUGGCAGCAGUGGGGAAUAUUGCACAAUGGGGGAAACCCUGAUGCAGCAACGCCGCGUGAAGGAAGACGGUUUUCGGAGUGUAAACUUCUGUUCUUAGUGAAGCAAAAUGACGGUAGCUAAGUCGCACGCCACUGCUAACUACGUGCCAGCAGCCUCAGUAAUACGGAGGUAGCAAGCGUUGUCCGGAAUUACUGGCUGUAAAGGGAGCGCAGGCGGGGAGCCAAGUCAGCUGUGAAAACUACGGGCUUAACUUGUAGACUGCAGUUGACACUGGUUUUCUUGAGUGAAGUAGAGGUUGGCGGAAUGCCGAGUGUAGCGGUGAAAUGCGUAGAUAUUCGGAGGAACACCGGUGGCGAAGGCGGCCAACUGGGCUUUAACUGACGCUGAGGCUCGAAAGUGUGGGGAGCAAACAGGAUUAGAUACCCCUGUAGUC
rnacentral:rRNA from 1 species